CCCUAGCCCUGAUAGAAGCGACAUCCUUUUGUGGCGGGGUUCGCCACAAAAGAUAUAGCGGAUAGCAGGAUUAAGC
rnacentral:sRNA from 1 species